ensembl:lincRNA A930001A20Rik RIKEN cDNA A930001A20 gene
GGCAAAUUCCAAUAAGAGGUUAGAAUUAGUUACCUGCAGAAGAUUUGCAGAAAGAAAAGGCAUCCUGCAGUAAGAGGACUUGUUCUCCGCCUGCUUCUGCUCAGGUGCACGUGCUGUGGGGGCGCUGCUGAAGGAAGGACAUUAACAGAGCAGAAGGCAGUCCUGGUAAUCAGGCUCCCAAUAUGGCCAAAUCCAUUCUCACCGACCUUCACCAUUUUGUCUACUGGACGAGGCUGGCACUGCACAAGAAGAUGCAGCUGUCUCUGGAACAAGGUGGAGCAGAGGGCCUAAAAACACAUUUCUAAGGGCAGACUUGAGUAUCCUUCCUUAAGGAAACACAUCUGUACUGUCUAUUCUUGCAAAUGCCAUGGAAUGGAUUUUGAGAGUUUCUCAGAUCUACAACCAUAAAUGGAUGUGGUAGAUCACAGCUCUUUGAGCAGUGAAUUUUAUGGAUGCUGUGCUGUCACAUUGGUCCUGAUUGAGCCCACUUUUCCCUGUCAUCUGUAAUGACUUUGAAAAACAUGGAACGAAAUCCUGGACAUGAAGAAAAUUGGAAAUGAUUUCAACAACAACAAAAAAAUUGCUUGUAAAUCUAAGUACAAAACAAACCUUCCUUUCGAUGUGAGGAUCCAUACUAAAACUUGACUCACCAUGGAUUAGUACCCAGUAGCUCUUCUCAGUCAUGGAGUUAUAUAGCACUGUGGGGCCAUCAUUAGAUCAUCAUUGUUCUACAUGCAUCUAGUGAUCUCAUGCACUUUAGUUACUCACACCAUAUCGUGUAGGAGCUGAACACAGGCUGCACAAGAGCCUGGCUCACUCUGCCUCUUUACUGGCUGAAGCAGAUCCUGCUUGCAUGAGGGCCACACUUUUUCUUGGCUCCAUGAUGCAUUCACCCUGAGUCUCUUUCAUUAUCAUUCUAUGUUUCCUUUAUUUUUAAGUAAAUAAAAACAUCCAACAUGUCCUUUAUCUUUGCCUUUGCUUUGAUCUUCUGUUCUUGAACAUUAAACUAAACAUGGGCAUGUACUCAUGCAUUAAUUCCACCUAACUCAGCGAUGCGGUCUAGUAAUGUUCACAUUCAGAUAUAGCAGUGUUACCUUAUAAAUUUAAACUGUAAAUAAUUCAUAAUGGACUGCAGAAGUGACUCAAUGGUUACGCGCACUUGCUGUUCCUCCAGGGCAUCAGCAUGAAAUUUUCUACAAUUACAUAGCACCUCACAGCCAAGUAGGCAUCUGAGAAGCCAUCUCUGGUCUCUGUAGGUAUUGCAUACAUAUGGCGGACAGACAAGUAAACAGGCAAAACAUCAAUUUACAUACAACAAAUAAAUUAAAUAAAAAAUAAAAACUUCAUUAUAAGUUUGCAUGCUUGC